GUCUACGGCCAGACCCCCUGAACGCGCCCGAUCUCGUACUGAUCUCGGAAGAGCUAAGCAGGGUCGGGCUGGUUAGUACUUGGAUGGGAGACCGCCUGGGAUACCGGGUGCUGUAGGCU
rnacentral:rRNA from 1 species